GAAUAGGUUUUCAAAUGAAAAGAAACGAUCCUGGAGUGGUAUCUUAAGAUAUCUACCCCUUUCAAUGGCAAGCUGAUUGUGGGAGUGAAUGGGCUAAGCAAAGGCGUGAGGGAAGGGAAGUGAUUCAAAGCUGCAGAAUAGGAAAACUUAUAAGCUUAUAUUAUGCGCAUAGAAAUGGCCGGAUCAUUUACAAGCUGUAGCAUAAAGGUUAGGGUGAGAAUAUCACAGUAAAUAAAUAUAUGUUCAACAGAAGACAUAGUUUUUUUAAAAAAUAAAAUAAAAUUGUACAUUAGAAUGCAGUAUAGGUACAUGUAUUGUGUAACCCUGGUUGUGGGCUAUGCA